rnacentral:lncRNA from 1 species
GUGACUACUUUUUCGGAUAUAUUGAGACUCGUGGGAUUUGCUUCUUUCAGGCACAUGUGGGAGUAGCUCUACUUAAUGCAAUGCCUCCCCCUAAGAAGGAAAAAUCAUCUGAUGGAUCGUCUAAGAAUGAUACUGCAAAACCUGCCAAGGGAAAGAAACUGAAGCCUGUUACAGAAAACGGAGAAGGCACUUCAAAAAGUAGAGCUACCAGCAGCCAAGCCAUUAAUCGCCAUCUUACACCUGCAGAGAUUCAGAAGCAGAAGCUCAAGAAACUUAUGGAUGAGCUUAAUGAGGGAGGAGCUGAUGGUCAGGCACCAAUUGUGAAACUUGGGGAUGCCUCAAUGGCAUCGCCAUUCACUGCAAAGCAUGCUUCAGUCUGCCCUACCACUGACAUCAUCCGUCAAGGUCGUAGUACCCUAGUAACCACCCUGCAGAUGUUUAAGAUUCUUGGACUUAACUGUCUUGCUACUGCCUAUGUCCUGAGUGUAAUGUACUUAGAUGGUGUCAAGUUAGGUGAUGUUCAGGCUACAAUCAGUGGGGUCUUCACAGCAGCCUUCUUUCUAUUUAUCUCACAUGCUCGGCCCCUUCCUACCCUCUCAGCCGAACGACCUCAUCCCAAUAUUUUCUGUGCCUACGUCUUCCUCUCCCUCCUGGGACAAUUUGCUAUCCAUCUGCUUUUCUUAAUUUCUUCUGUUAACGAGGCUAGCAAGUACAUGCCUGAUGAGUGCAUUGAGCCAGACUCUACCCCUUCCAACCCUCUCAGCCGAACGACCUCAUCCCAAUAUUUUCUGUGCCUACGUCUUCCUCUCCCUCCUGGGACAAUUUGCUAUCCAUCUGCUUUUCUUAAUUUCUUCUGUUAACGAGGCUAGCAAGUACAUGCCUGAUGAGUGCAUUGAGCCAGACUCUAAUUUUCAUCCAAACCUUGUCAAUACUGUUUCAUACAUGGUGGGGUUGAUGCUUCAGGUAGCAACCUUUGCUGUGAACUACAUGGGCCACCCCUUCAACCAAAGCAUACCCGAAAACAAGCCAUUCUUAUACGCCCUUUUGGCUGCCGUGGGCUUCUUCACAGUUAUCACCUCUGAUUUGUUUAGAGACUUAAACGACUGGUUGAAGUUAGUUCCUAUAAUUUUCAUCCAAACCUUGUCAAUACAGUUUCAUACAUGGUGGGGUUGAUGCUUCAGGUAGCAACCUUUGCUGUGAACUACAUGGGCCACCCCUUCAACCAAAGCAUACCCGAAAACAAGCCAUUCUUAUACGCCCUUUUGGCUGCCGUGGGCUUCUUCACAGUUAUCACCUCUGAUUUGUUUAGAGACUUAAACGACUGGUUGAAGUUAGUUCCUAUGCCAAGAAGUUUGAGAGAUAAGCUGCUGCUUUGGGCAUUCCUGACAUUUUUGGUCUGCUAUGCCUGGGAGAAGUCAUUGAGGUGGGCUUUCCCUG